UACGUAGUUGGCAAGCGGUGUCCGGAAUUACUGGGCGUAAAGCGCGUGUAGGCGGUUGUUCAAGUCAGGUGUGAAAGCCUUGAGCUCAACUCAAGAAAUGCACUUGAUACUGGAUGACUAGAGGACCGGAGAGGAUAGUGGAAUUCCCAGUGUAGUGGUGAAAUACGUAGAGAUUGGGAAGAACACCAGUGGCGAAGGCGGCUAUCUGGACGGUUUCUGACGCUAAGACGCGAAAGCGUGGGGAGCAAACAGG
rnacentral:rRNA from 1 species